AUUCAGUCGUUUAAUCUAAGUCGAUGCGUUAUUCACAUAUUUUCUAUCUCUUUCUAUCUAUAGCUAUCAAAUAAUGAGGCUCACAGAAUUGUUGCAGACAGAGUGAAAAAAUGUUCGUCCGACUGCAACAAAUUCUCUAUAACUGAUAUUGUCACUCCAGUUUUAGAGAAGGAUAACUACGUUGCUUUGUUGCCGAUUAGCACUUGCAUGUCACUUUUACAAAAGUACAACUCCGAGAGAGUAAAAUGUCGCCUCGCCAUGGCUUACCAGAAACAGGUUCAGUCGUGGAAGCCCAUGUUCUUAGGUGUUCCGAAAUCCAGCCCUUACAUUGAGGAAAUCAAUCGAGAAUCCCUUUGGUUCAUUGACGUAGGACUGCGCUUUUAUUGGCAUGGAAAGUUCGACAAACUUCCCGAUCAAUGUCGACUGGACUACAACAGCAAGGGCGUCGCGUCCAAGAGAUCCAGCAGCCGAAUCAAACUGGAGCAGUUUUAUCUACCAUUUCUCGUUCUUUUCGGUGGCUAUUUGUUGGCUUUCGUGCAGUUCUGUCGCGAAAAUCUUAGAAGCAGAGUUGUCCGUCGUAAAGGCACUUCAACUUUGGAGCGGCACUAAAAAUGCUGUGCCAUAGUAAAUAGCCUAGCCAGUGUUUUUAGUCGCCCGAUUUUGAGUCUAUCUUCAUUUGUGAAUCGACCCCUAUACAGACAUUUAAGUUAGACUGCCACUUAUUUAUAGCUACUUCAGAAAUACUUUCAGAAUAGUCUUAGUAUACAUAACUAUAUACAUAAAAUAUGUAAAGAGAAUCCCAGGAAACGAUCCCAACACAUUAAAUCCCGAAUAAUGUCUUUUUGUUUGUUUUUUCGUAGUUACACUUAAAUUCAAACAACUACACAUACCUAUAAGUUAAUUAAGUUAUUAUUGUAAGGCCAACAUUU